AGCAAGCAGAGAACUCAACUGUAUAACCACCUGCUAGUAUAUAUCUGGCUUGUAUAUAUGUAUGGAGAGCCUGCUGCCUGCCUAGCCGCAAAUCGAUGGAUGGAAGCUGCAGCUAGCAAAGCAAAAGUAGAAGUGGAGGAAGGAAGAGGUGUGUGUGGGCUGCGGCCGGCCUGUGCUAGAGGGCGCCGCCGGGGAGGAGGUCGUGGUCGUUGUCGUCGUAGGCAGAGAAGACGAAGACUCGGAAGAGGAGCCAGCUGAUGAGGCAGGAGAAGUCGUCCGCGCCGGUGGUCCGCAGCGCCAUGGACAUGGACGUCGACGACGUCCCGGAGGAGGAGACGACGACCCCCGCGUGCGCGUGCGCGUGGUGCGCGGCGCCGAGGCAACGGCAGCGGCAGG
rnacentral:lncRNA from 1 species